AUGGAAGGCGGCAAGAAGCAGCAGCACCACCACCACCACUUCGUCCUGAUCCACGGCGUGUGUCACGGCGCGUGGUCCUGGUACAGGGUGUCCACCGCCCUGGAGGCCGCCGGCCACCGCGUCACCGCGCCGGACAUGGCCGGGUGCGGCGAGGAGGUGGCGUCCUUCGAGGAGUACAGCCGGCCGCUGCUGGACGCGGUGGCGGCGCUGCCGGAGGGCGAGCAGGCGGUCCUCGUCGCCCACAGCUUCGGCGGGCAGAGCCUCGCGCUGGCCAUGGAGAGGCACCCGGAAAAGGUCUCCGUGGCCGUGUUCGUCACGGCCACCAUGCCCGCCGCCGGGAAGCCCAUGACCUACGCCUUCAACCAGCUAUCGCAAGGGAAAGGGCCGGAUUUCUUCAUGGAUUGCGCGCUCGGAAGCGCCGGCGAUCCCCGGAAUCCGGACAAGACGUUCCUGUUCGGGCCAAAGUACAUGGCGCGGAGAGUGUAUCAGCUGAGCCCUCCUGAGGAUCUGACCCUGGGAAUCGCGAUGGUGAGGCCGUCACGGCGGUUCCUAAACGACGACACGAUGAACGGGGACGUCCUGACGCCGGCGAGGUACGGAGCGGUGAGGCGUGUGUACGUCGUGGCCGAGGACGACGAGUGGAAGCCGGCGGAGAUGCAGCGGCUGAUGGCCUCGUGGAACCCCGGCACUGAGGUCAUGGGACUGCAGGGAGCUGAUCAUAUGCCCAUGUUCUCAAAGCCGAGGGAGCUCUCAGAAUUACUCAUGGUCAUUGCCAACAAGUACCCAGGAAGCUGA
rnacentral:rRNA from 1 species